GACAGAGGCCUCAAGCGUUAGGCGGAAUCACUGGGCUUAAAGCGUGUGUAGGCGGAUCGUUAAGUGUCUUGUGAAAUCCCACGGCUCACCCGUGGAACUGCUGGGCAUACUGGCGAUCUUGGGCCAACUAGGGGCAGCCGGAACAAGCGGUGGAGCGGUGAAAUGCGUAGAUAUCGCUUGGAACGCCGAAGGUGAAAACAGGCUGCUGGGGUUGUGCCGACGCUGAGGCACGAAAGCCAGGGGAGCAAACAGG
rnacentral:rRNA from 1 species